GCUAUCGAUAGAUCAGAAGAUUUCGAUGGAAAAGCUUGAGAGAAGAUUGUAUAAUUGAGAGGUAUAACAGUGGGCAAAGCGUCUUUCACCGGCGAUAUCAUCAUCUCGAUCGACUGCGGCACUAUCGACGGUGGCGGUUCAUCAACUGGAGAGGGUUUUUGCUUCACCAAAUCGGAAAUUGAAGUGUGUAUAGCAUCUGCGAGUCAACUACCUAGCUCACUCUUUGUGUACCUGUCAAAUUCGUACAAGAUAUCCCUUCAAAUCUCGGCAAUAUGAUGGGAAAUGUCAUGACCAUUCGAAAUGAAGUUCGUGAUAAAAAAUGCAUGAUCGACUGAAAGCGGAUUUGGUUGAGCAUAUAUGGAGAAAGUUUGGCACAAAUCAAAAUUAAAAUUAAUCAUUUUGUAAUUUAUUUUUAAUAUGCUUUUAUAUCAUGUUUGUUUAAACUUUUAUUGAAUGCAAUAUUUUUAAG